CCUACGGGAGGCAGCAGUGGGGAAUAUUGCACAAUGGGGGAAACACUGAUGCAGCGACGCCGCGUGAGUGAAGAAGUAUUUCGGUAUGUAAAGCUCUAUCAGCAGGGGAGCAAAUGACGGUACCUGUUUAAGAAGCCCCGGCUAACUACGUGCCAGCAGCCGCGGUAAUACGUAGGGGGCAAGCGUUAUCCGGAUUUACUGGGUGUAAAGGGAGCGUAGACGGCAGCACAAGUCUGGAGUGAAAUGCCGGGGCUUAACCCCGGAAAUGCGUUGGAAACUGUGCAGAUAGAGUGCAGGAGAGGUAAGUGGAAUGCCUAGUGUAGCGGUGAAAUGCGUAGAUAUUAGGAGGAACACCAGUGGCGAAGGCGGCGUACUGGACUGUAACUGACGUUGAGGCUCGAAAGCGUGGGGAGCAAACAGGAUUAGAUACCCCAGUAGUC
rnacentral:rRNA from 1 species